AUCGCUUCUCGGCCUUUUGGCUAAGAUCAAAGUGUAGUAUCUGUUCUUAUCAGCUUGAUAUCUGAUACGUCCCCCAUUGGGGGACCAGAAUAUCGAACUGAUUUUUGAAAAUAGGCGGGACGUCUGGGGCUUGCUCCGGUCCUGCCACGGGUCGGCCAUGCAUUGCAGUACCGCAAGGAUCGGCCCACACAAU